rnacentral:rRNA from 1 species
GACGAACGCUGGCGGCGUGCUUAACACAUGCAAGUCGAACGGAAAGGCCCUGCUUUUGUGGUGUGCUCGAGUGGCGAACGUGUGAGUAACACGUGAGUAACCUGCCCUUGACUUUGGUAUAACUUCAGGAAACUGUGGCUAAUACCGGAUAGGAGCUCCUGCUGCAUGGUGGGGGUUGGAAAGUUUCGGCGGUUGGGGAUGGACUCGCGGAUUAUCAGCUUGUUGGGGGGGUAGUGGCUUACCAAGGCUUUGACGGGUAGCCGGUCUGAGAGGGUGACCGACCACAUUGGGAAUGAGAUGCGGCCAAGACUCCUAGGGGAGGCAGCAGGGGGGAAUAUUGAACAAGGGGCAGAAGGCUGAUGCAGCAACGCCGGGUGCGGGAUGACGGCCUGCGGGUUGUAAACCGCUUGCGACUGUGAAGAAGCGGGAGUGACGGUAAUGGGUAAAGAAGCACCGGCUAACUACGUG